rnacentral:rRNA from 1 species
GACGAACGCUGGCGGCGUGCUUAACACAUGCAAGUCGAACGGAAAGGCCCUGCUUUUGUGGGGUGCUCGAGUGGCGAACGGGUGAGUAACACGUGAGUAACCUGCCCUUGACUUUGGGAUAACUUCAGGAAACUGGGGCUAAUACCGGAUAGGAGCUCCUGCUGCAUGGUGGGGGUUGGAAAGUUUCGGCGGUUGGGGAUGGACUCGCGGCUUAUCAGCUUGUUGGUGGGGUAGUGGCUUACCAAGGCUUUGACGGGUAGCCGGCCUGAGAGGGUGACCGGCCACAGGGGGACGGAGAUACGGCCCAGACUCCUACGGGGGGCAGCAGGGGGGAAUAUGGAACAAGGGCGGAAGCCUGAUGCAGCAACGCCGCGUGCGGGAUGACGGCCUUCGGGUUGUAAACCGCUUUCGCCUGUGACGAAGCGUGAGUGACGGUAAUGGGUAAAGAAGCACCGGCUAACUACGUG